rnacentral:rRNA from 1 species
UGCAGUCUGCAACUCGACUGCACGAAGCUGGAAUCGCUAGUAAUCGCGGAUCAGCACGCCGCGGUGAAUACGUUCCCGGGUCUUGUACACACCGCCCGUCACACCAUGGGAGCCGGAAAUGCCCGAAGCCAGUGACCCAACCUUAGGGAGGGAGCUGUCGAAGGUGGAGCCGGUAACUGGGGUGAAGUCGUAACAAGGUAAC